UACAGAGGGGGCAAGCGUUGUUCGGAAUUACUGGGCGUAAAGGGCGCGUAGGCGGCCUGUUAAGUCGAACGUGAAAUCCCCGGGCUCAACCCGGGAACUGCGUCCGAAACUGGCAGGCUCGAAUCCGGGAGAGGGAUGCGGAAUUCCAGGUGUAGCGGUGAAAUGCGUAGAUAUCUGGAGGAACAUCGGUGGCGAAGGCGGCAUCCUGGACCGGUAUUGACGCUGAGGCGCGAAAGCCAGGGGAGCAAACGGG
rnacentral:rRNA from 1 species